rnacentral:rRNA from 1 species
UACGAAGGGGGCUAGCGUUGCUCGGAAUCACUGGGCGUAAAGGGUGCGUAGGCGGGUUUUAAGUCAGGGGUGAAUCCUGGAGCUCAACUCCAGAACUGCCUUUGAUACUGAAGAUCUCGAGUCCGGGAGAGGUGAGUGGAACUGGCGAGUGUAGAGGUGAAAUUCGAUGAGAUAUUCGCAAGAACACCAGUGGCGAAGGCGGCUCACUGGCCCGGUACUGACGCUGAGCACGAAAGCGUGGGAGCAACA